UAGAUAGAUAAAUCUACAAAAAGGGAAAGA
rnacentral:piRNA from 1 species